UUCGUUCAUGUGAUGCCUAUUCAAAUACAGGGUCUGGUGCAAAUAAUAACACCCCUUUUUAAUUACAAAAUCAUAAGCAUGUAAUUCCGUAACAUAACAAUAUCACACUCAAGCAUACCAGAUGACAUUUUAGGUGAAAUGUUCAAAUUAAAACUAUUAAUUAGUACACCCGUAUUAUUACCCUACCAACCACACUCAAGCAGGCCUUACUUCUGCUGAUCUCUGUAUAUCGUCAAAACUGCCUAAAAGAGGAAAAGUUUUUUGUUCUGUAGUUCAUAUGCUUAGAAGUUAGAACUCAGCUGUGAUAAAGUUUGACAUCAAAAUAAGUUACUGAAAUUUUACAGAAAAUGGCGACUAGGAAAACAUAAGAAUUUCUCUUUGUCAUGGGUGCCAACAUCACUGCUACCUUCAAUGCCACUGCCACCAGUAUCAUCAUAACCUCCUAAUGGAUUUUUCAUCUGGGUAGCAGCAUAUUGACUUG